AUCGUAGUUGUAAUUUUCUCUCAAAAUCACGUGGUAUUUUAAACAAAUCUUCCACUUUAAGAUAAUGUUGGAAAUCCCAAAACCAUAGAGAUGUUAAAAUAAUAGAAUACUGAUUUGGAGAAAAAAGUGAGAUUGUUCAGCUGUCGAGGAAAAAAAUAUUGCGCCCAAAACAAACAAGUCGUUAGUACUUCUCCAAUACUAUUACUUAUUAGUAAUAGGAACUUUGUUAUUUAAAAUUCAUUUAUCAUCCCUUCUGGAUUGUAAUACUCGCUGUUGGUUUACAAUGCCUACUUGCGUGGCUUAUAAUUGCACCUCCAGGAUGCAACCUUCUAUCAGUCCUUCAGGACUAAGAACCAUGAGGGUCAGGAUUAUUCUCAGCAUGUUAAGAAUGAUACUAAUACUUAUGACCAUGGACUAGAGGAGAAAUAUGGAAGGCCCAAUCACGAAUUUAUUAGUUUUUCACAUUUCCAAAAAAUCUAGAGCUUCAUAAUCGCUGGUUGAUUAACUGCCGGAGAGAAAAUUGGAAUCCCUCUAAGUGGUCGAGAAUUUGUUCAAAAAAUUUCAAGAAGGAUUUAAUCAUUCGACAUAAAGUCAAGUGUAGUCUUGUUGAUGGAGCAGUACCAACUAUUUUUGAUUUUCCCAAACACUUAAUUAUAGUUGAGUCAAAUCGAAGAGUAUUAGAACGAUCUAAUCCUGAAGAAAAAAGGGAAGUAAUUCUUGAAUAAGAUAUAGACGAUGACAAUAAUCACGCUUCGAAUGUACUUUCGGAUCAUUCGUACUCUUUGCCAAAUUCAAUGGAUCUCCUGGGCGUAGAGAACUAAAAAGCCAAACUUCAAAUUAUAACCCUUGCAGAAGAAAAUGAGCAGCUCUGAGAAAAUUUAAAGACCUUAAAAAAAUAAAAAAAGAGAUUCAAACAGAACCCCUUAAGAUUUCAAAAGCGGCUCAAGACAAUCAGAGAUCUAUUUGACCAUUUAAACAGAAAAAAAAACUUAUUUCUGGGUCAGGCGAAGAAGUACUAUCUUCCAUAACAUCUGGAAUCCCCAAAAUUUUCUUUCAACGUAUUAUUCUCAAUAACAAAAAGGGGAUAAUCUCAAGACAAAAAUAUCCUGAUGAAUUGAGAAAAUUUACUCUAACCUUGCAGUUUUACUAUCAAAAGGGGUAUGCCUAUGUUCGCAAGACAUUUAACAUGGCUUUGCCACACCCUUCAGUUAUUAGAAGCUGGUACGGAACAAUCGAUGGAAACCCAGGAUUUACGGUGAAAGCAUUUAAAGCCUUGAAACUUCGAGUAGAACAGCAAAGAGUUGCGGAAGGAAAGGUUUAUUGCAACCUAACGCUCGACGAAAUGAGCAUUCGAAAAUGAAUUGAAUUUGAUUGCAGUAAAUACCAUGGCUAUGUGGACAUUGAAACGGGAGAUUCAGACGAUUCCAUGCCUCCCGCCACUGAAGUCUUGGUACUUAUGGUGGUUGCCAUUAAUGGGAAUUGGAAAAUUCCCAUAGGAAAUUUUAUCAUCAUGGAUUGUCGUGGGAAGAAAAGGCGAAUAUAGUACAAACAGCUUUAAUUAAAGUACAUGAAGUUGGUGUGAUAAUACCGAGUAUUACCUGUGAUGGGCCCUCAUGUAAUUUUGGAAUGUUUAAAGCUCUUGGAGCUGCCCUUCAUUUAGGCAAUAUAAAACCCUUCAAACUGUGUCAUAAAAGUCGUUGUUUUACUUGACGUAUGUCAUAUGCUGAAUCUUGUAAGGAACUCUUUUGUAUCAAUUGGGGAGCUCCAAAAUCAUAAGGGAGAGGCUAUUCGUUGGAGUUUUAUAGAAGAAUUGUACUUAAUACAAGAAAAAGAAGGUUUAAGAGCAGGGACGAAGCUGAGAAAAGCUCACAUGGAAUGGAGAGGGAUGAAGAUUAUAGUAAAUUUGGCGUGUGAAACACAUUCUACAAGUGUAGCCGAUUCUUUGGAGAUGCUAUCACACGAUCUUAAAUUACAUAAGUUUUCUAAAUGUGAUGCAACAAUCAUCCGUAUAUUCGAUGCUCUAUUUGAUGUAUUUAACUCGCUGAAUGUGUUUACCAACUCUACCAAAGCGCCCCUAAGUAGAGCUAACUUCGAUUACUGGCGUCCUCUAUUCGAAUCAAGUUUCUAUUACAUCAG
rnacentral:lncRNA from 1 species